GUGCCAGCAGCCGCGGUAAUACGUAGGGCGCAAGCGUUAUCCGGAAUUAUUGGGCGUAAAGAGCUCGUAGGCGGUUUGUCGCGUCUGCCGUGAAAGUCCGGGGCUUAACUCCGGAUCUGCGGUGGGUACGGGCAGACUAGAGUGCAGUAGGGGAGACUGGAAUUCCUGGUGUAGCGGUGAAAUGCGCAGAUAUCAGGAGGAACACCGAUGGCGAAGGCAGGUCUCUGGGCUGUAACUGACGCUGAGGAGCGAAAGCAUGGGGAGCGAACAGGAUUAGAUACCCUGGUAGUCCAUGCCGUAAACGUUGGGCACUAGGUGUGGGGGACAUUCCACGUUUUCCGCGCCGUAGCUAACGCAUUAAGUGCCCCGCCUGGGGAGUACGGCCGCAAGGCUAAAACUCAAAGGAAUUGACGGGGGCCCGCACAAGCGGCGGAGCAUGCGGAUUAAUUCGAUGCAACGCGAAGAACCUUACCAAGGCUUGACAUGAACCGGAAUGAUGCAGAGAUGUGUCAGCCACUUGUGGCCGGUUUACAGGUGGUGCAUGGUUGUCGUCAGCUCGUGUCGUGAGAUGUUGGGUUAAGUCCCGCAACGAGCGCAACCCUCGUUCCAUGUUGCCAGCGGGUUAUGCCGGGGACUCAUGGGAGACUGCCGGGGUCAACUCGGAGGAAGGUGGGGACGACGUCAAAUCAUCAUGCCCCUUAUGUCUUGGGCUUCACGCAUGCUACAAUGGCCGGUACAAAGGGUUGCGAUACUGUGAGGUGGAGCUAAUCCCAAAAAGCCGGUCUCAGUUCGGAUUGAGGUCUGCAACUCGACCUCAUGAAGUUGGAGUCGCUAGUAAUCGCAGAUCAGCAACGCUGCGGUGAAUACGUUCCCGGGCCUUGUACACACCGCCCGUG
rnacentral:rRNA from 1 species